GGGAUAAUAGUUUAAUUGGAAAAAUUACUCCCAUUCACGGAGUGGUUUUGGGUUCGAGUCCCAAUUAUCCUG
rnacentral:tRNA from 1 species